UACGUAGGGUGCGAGCGUUAUCCGGAAUUACUGGGUUUAAAGGGUGCGUAGGCGGCUAUGUAAGUCAGGUGUGAAAGUUUGCGGCUCAACCGUAAAAUUGCUUUUGAUACUGCAUGGCUGGAAUCAGGAUGAGGUCAGCGGAAUGUGGCAUGUAGCGGUGAAAUGCAUAGAUAUGCCAUAGAACACCAAUUGCGAAGGCAGCUGGCUAGACCUGUAUUGACGCUGAGGCACGAAAGCGUGGGGAGCGAACAGG
rnacentral:rRNA from 1 species